rnacentral:rRNA from 1 species
UACGUAGGGUGCAAGCGUUAAUCGGAAUUACUGGGCGUAAAGCGUGCGCAGGCGGUCUUGCAAGACAGGUGUGAAAUCCCCGGGCUUAACCUGGGAACUGCACUUGUGACUGCAAGGCUGGAGUACGGCAGAGGGGGAUGGAAUUCCGCGGUGUAGCAGUGAAAUGCGUAGAUAUGCGGAGGAACACCGAUGGCGAAGGCAAUCCCCUGGGCCUGCACUGACGCUCAUGCACGAAAGCGUGGGGAGCAAACAG